ACCUACGGGGGGCAGCAGUGAGGAAUAUUGGUCAAUGGGCGGAAGCCUGAACCAGCCAAGUCGCGUGAGGGAAUAAGGCCCUACGGGUCGUAAACCUCUUUUGCCGGGGAGCAAGGGCGGGGACGUGUCCCGGCCCGGAGAGUACCCGGAGAAAAAGCAUCGGCUAACUCCGUGCCAGCAGCCGCGGUAAUACGGAGGAUGCGAGCGUUAUCCGGAUUUAUUGGGUUUAAAGGGUGCGCAGGCGGUCUGUUAAGUCAGCGGUCAAAGCCCGGGGCUCAACCCCGGCCCGCCGUUGAAACUGGCCG
rnacentral:rRNA from 1 species